UACGAAGGGGGCUAGCGUUGCUCGGAAUCACUGGGCGUAAAGCGCACGUAGGCGGAUUGUUAAGUCAGGGGUGAAAUCCUGGAGCUCAACUCCAGAACUGCCUUUGAUACUGGCGAUCUCGAGUCCGGGAGAGGUGAGUGGAACUGCGAGUGUAGAGGUGAAAUUCGUAGAUAUUCGCAAGACACCAGUGGCGAAGGCGGCUCACUGGCCCGAUACUGACGCUGAGGCACGAAAGCGUGGGGAGCAAACAGG
rnacentral:rRNA from 1 species